UGAGGAACAUGACCUUCGGCGGGGGAGUAGCCGGCCCAACGGCCGGGUAAUACCGCGUACGACCACUUUGGGACAUCCCUGGGUGGUGAAAGCAGCAAUGCGCCGAUGGAGUGCCUCGCGGCCUAUCAGCUAGUUGGUGAGGUAACGGCUCACCAAGGCGACGACGGGUAGCUGGUCUGAGAGGAUGGCCAGCCACAUUGGGACUGCGACACGGCCCAGACUCCGUACGGGAGCAG
rnacentral:rRNA from 1 species